AGGGAGCGGCGGGGAGUUUUUCCAGAAAGGCCCGGCCUCGCCGAGAGCCCGUCGCUUUCCGAGCGGGAGGGAAGAGGAGCCGGGACCCCCCCACGCCUCCCGGAGACCCUCCCGUGGCCGACGUCCGGGAGCUGAGGGGACGGGGGUCGUAGGACAGCAGAGACCGGCGCCCGCUCGCCCCGGUCUGACCGGUGAGUCUGGGCCGGGGAGUACACGGAUGGGAAAGGGCUCACGGGGGGACGGGGAACGAGAGAAAACUCCCCCGUCUCUCGGCACUCCGUCCUCCAGAUCCCCCGGGUGGGGGCCAGGAACGGGCGGGGAUUUAUUAAGCGCUUGUUACGUGCUAUGUACCGUGUACUAAGAACUGGGGUAGAUGCAAACUUAUCAGACCGGACACAGUCCCUGUCCUGCGUGGGGCUCACAGUCUUCAUCCCCAUUUUCCAGAUGAGGAAACUGAGGCACGGAGAAGGGAGGUGACUCGCCCACCGUCGCCCAGCAGACGAGCGGCGGAGCCGGAAUUAGAAGCCGGGUCCUUCUGACUCCCAGGCCCGGGAUCCGUCCGCUAGCCGAUGCUCCUACUCGUUGUGAGCGGGCACGGCCUCCUCCGGACCCCCUCUCCCUUCAAGGAGCUUACAGGGCGGGGGGGCUAGACCUUAAAUGAAUUACAGAGAAAGGACGGCGGAGUGGAACAGUGACGGACACGCGUGCUCCAGGGCCGGGAGGGGACGAGUAUCAAAAUCCUGAAGGGUUAUAGACCCGCGUGCAGAGGCGACAUGGAAGAGUGGGCCAAUCGUGUAGUCUGGGAAGGCUUCCCGGCAGAAGUGAGAUCUGGGCAGGGAUUUGAAGACGGGGACGGCGGUGGCCGUCUGUAGGAUAUGAAGGGGAAGGGAGGUCCGGGCCAGAGGGAGGAGGUGGGCCGGGGGUCCGCCGCGAGACCGACGGGAUCGAGGUACGGUGAGUAGGUCGGUGUUCGAGGAGGGAAGGGUGUGGGAGAUCAGGGAGGUGAGGCGGGAAGGGGAGAGCCGACCGAGCGCCUUAAAGCUGAUAGCGAGGAGCCUCCCUCUGACGCGGAGGCCGACGGGCGGUUAUCGGAGGCUUCUGAGGAGCGGGGAGACGUCGACGGGACGUUUUCGGUAAAGUGAUCCGGGCGGCAGAGUGAAGUACGGACCAGAGAAGGGGGAGGCCGGAGGCGGGGAGGUCGGCGAGGAGGCCGUCGCGGUAAUCAAGGGGGGAUAGGAGAAGGCUCUGGACUAAUGUGUUAGCCGUUUAGACGGAGAGGAACGGGGGGGGGAUUCUCGGGAUUUCGGGAAUUCGAGGCCGACGGGAUCUGGUGACAGACUGAAGUGAUGGGGAGGACGGGGGGGAUGCUGGUGUCGUCUACAGUGAUUGAAAGGUCUGAUGGAGAACGGGGGUCGGGUGGGGAGACGAGGAGCUCUGCUUCAGACGUAUUUGGUUGGAGGUGUGAGUGGGAUAUCCAAGAAGAGAUGUCCCGAGGGCCACGGUGAUUGAGAAGUCUGGGGGAAGACAGGGUUUGGGAGGGAAGAUGAGACGCUCUCU
rnacentral:lncRNA from 1 species